rnacentral:rRNA from 1 species
UAUGAACGCUGGCGGCGUGCCUAACACAUGCAAGUCGAACGGAGAUUCCGGACGGAAGUUUUCGGAUGGAAGCCUGUAAUUCUUAGUGGCGGACGGGUGAGUAACGCGUGGGUAACCUGCCCUAUACAGGGGGAUAGCAGCUGGAAACGGCUGGUAAGACCGCAUAAGUCGGUUAAAUCGCAUGAUUUGAUCGGGAAAUGAGCAAUCAGGUAUAGGAUGGGCCCGCGUCCGAUUAGCCAGUUGGCAGGGUAAAAGCCUACCAAAGCGACGAUCGGUAGCCGGACUGAGAGGUCGGACGUCCACAUUGGGACUGAGACACGGCCCAAACUCCUACGGGAGGCAGCAGUGGGGGAUAUUGCACAAUGGAGGAAACUCUGAUGCAGCGACGCCGCGUGAGUGAAGAAGUAUUUCGGUAUGUAAAGCUCUAUCAGCAGGGAAGAUGAUGACGGUACCUGACUAAGAAGCCCCGGCUAACUACGUG